UCCAAAGCAAAAUGCCCCACCCCACCCCACCCCCCUGGCCAACUUUCCUCUGCAGAGCACUGUGGUCCUGGUGCUGUGGUCCUCUCCUUCCCUCUGGCCUCUCCAGGUAUGUGUGGGGGAAAAAGAAGGGGUGCAUCCUGGGAUAGGUGGGGCAUGGAAUAGUUACCCGUUACCCAGAUCAGUGAGUGAGGAGUGGCAACAAGAAUGAACCCCCUCCUCUGCUCCCUGCUCCCAAGCGUUGCCUGAAAAUCAAAAGGGGUCAAGACUAUUCAGGGACCAAUAAGGUUGAGAAAGCUACUUUUUACGAGUAGCAAAUGUUUUGUAGGGAGAGAUUUGUUUAAUGAAUGUUCUUUUUCUACCUAAGUCUUGGUAGAUUUGAAUAAGUAAAAACAGUCUGAAGCUCUCUUCGGGGAAGCUCUCUUCUCAGGGGUGGAGAAAGCUGAGGUUUUCGGCCUGGAAAGUUCAGUAGCUGGGAAUGCGAAGUGUAAUAAUAGAAAUGUCCCUAAAAAUGCCUCAGGUAGAGUGGCCCAAGUCAUUUUAAAAACAGGAAGGGUUAAUAUUCCAUUUAACAUGAUUUGUGUUAUAAUGGCAUUACUCUAUACUCCUCAGACAUGCACUCACCUCUGUCUCUGGCAAAUUUUUAGUGCAAUUUCCUGCACACUCACUAGCUUGACUGACUAUGAAAUCAAAGAAGUGGCUGAAUCCUUCACUGGGGAAAGGAUAUUGCAAAGGAAGUAGAGACAAUCCAUAAACUACACUGAUUCGACAGAAGCAGGAGCUAGGUAGAGGUGACAAUGAAAGUGAAGCCACCUCCUCCUCUCCAUCUACCUAGACAUUUUCCCACAUCAUCUUGAAUGUUUUGCAGUUCUAUGAAAUGUGGAACAAGGCUUUGAGCCCAUUGUAAAGGGCAAGGCGACUGCAGCUGAUGAUUCCCAAAGACUUGUUUCCAGCCCUUGACCUUGGAUCCAAUUGCCUAGUCAAUUUCUCUUCUUAGAUGUCUAACAGACAACUCCAGUUUAAAAGAGCCAAAAACCUGCAACUAGAGAGUAUCAUACUAAGUGAAGUGAGUCAGAAAAAGAAAGACAAUAUCACUUAAACGUGGAUUCUAAAAUAUGGCACAAAUGAACUUAUCUACAAAACAGAAACAGACUCACAGACAUAAAGAACAGACCUGUGGUUGUCAAAGGGGAAGGGGAGGGAGUGGGAUGGACUGGGAGUUUGGGGUUGGUAGAUCCAAACUAUUAUAUCUAGAAUGGAUAAGCAUUGAGGUCCUACUGUACAGCACAAGGAAACAUAUCCAGUCUCUUGGGCUAGACCGUGAUCGAAGAUAAUAUAAGAAAAAAAUGUAAAUAAAUAUAUGUAUGACGGGGUCACUUUGCUGUACAGCAGAAAUUGGCACAAUGCUGUAAAUCAACUAUAUUUUAAUAAAAAAAUAAAAAAUAAAAUAAAAUGGUCAAAAGCCAAAUUCAACUCCACCCCAUAUACACACUUCUCCCUUAAGCUUCCUCAUCUGAAUUAACAGCCCUGUAUCUACUCAAUUGCUCAAACCUCAAACUUUGAGUUAGUUAUCCUUGAUCCCUCUCUCUCUCAUCUAAGCAACCCAUCAGCAGGCCCCGUCAGCUUGGACAUUUCUCACCUUCUCCAUACACGACGAUGAUCCCACCCAACUAUCCACCACCUUCCUCAGCUGAAUUAGUACAAGAACCUCCUAAACUCCUAAUCAUCCUACCUCUACUGUGGCCCCCAGUGGUCUUUUUUCAACAUAUCUGUAAAGCCAGAUAGAGGGUCUGUGACCAAAUCAGAACCUAUCAGUCCACAGUUUAACAUAAUCUAUGGUGUCUUCUGCUAUUCAAACUCCUCCCCAUGGCUGAUAGGCCCCCACAUGACCUGGCCCUGCUCACCUCUCUGACCUCAUCUCCUUCUACUCUUCCACCAUUCAUAAGGUGUCAUCCACCCUGACCCCUUUCUUUUCUUUUUCUUUCUUUUUUUUUUUUUUUCUUUUUAGGGCCACAGCUACAGCAUAUGGAUGCUCCCAGGCUAGGGGUUGAAUCGGAGCUAUAGCUGCUGCAGCCAUAGCCACAGCCACAGGGGAUCCCAGCCCCAUCUGUGACCUAUACUGCAGCUCGCUGCAACGCCAGAUGCUUAACCCACUGAGCAAGGCCAGGGAUUGAAACCACAUCCUCAUGGCUACUAGUUGGGUUCCUAACCCACUGAGCCACAGUGGGAACUCCCACACUGACCCCUUUCUACACACAUGCACACACACACACACACACACACACACACACAAACACACACACACAGAGUGCUUCUUCCCUCAGAGCCUUUGUCCUUGUUAUUCUCUUGCCUAGAUUGCUUUUCCUGUACAUUUUUGCAUAGUUGCCACAAUCCUCACUUGUCUGCCCAAUUGUCACUCUCUACAUUUUCCUUGCUUUAUUUCCUAAUAGCACAUAUUUGUUGUUUGAUUACAUAUUUUCAUCUCUCUCUCCCCAUUAGAACAAGAGCUCCAUGAAGGGGGAGAUGCUUAUCUCCAGCUCCAAGACAGUACCAGGUACAGAACAGGAACAAUGUGUGAAAUGCAUCUGAGUUUCACUUGUUCUCUGUUUUCCCUCCACCAAAGGCCGUCCUGAACUGUGGCAUCUGCUAAAGUCCUCACUCAUUUGAAUUUUGUCAUUAACUGUUCCCCUAAGUCAGCUAAGAUGGACCACAGGUAGAUGGCCUGGGGCUUCCCCUGGAAAAAGCAGAGGCUGCACUCGAGCUGGCAGAGGCCUGAAGAAAAUUCACACACACAGGAAGUCCCUUCUUUCCUAGUAUCCAGUUUUAUCCCUUUUCAUAACUUUAUCGAAAUGUUCUGCUCUUGCCAUUUCAUUUUUCCAUUUCAUUUUUCUUCAGACUUUUUCCUGAAGGGAAAAAGACUUUUGUUUGAUUUUUGGUCACUCGCCACAGUUCCUGACUCAAAUAUUCACUUUUUUACUUAGCAAUUCAAAGUCAGAGUUCCCGUCGUGGCUCAGCUGAAACAAAUCUGACUAGCAUCCAUGAGGACUUAGGUUCCAUCCCUGGCCUCACUCAGUGGGUUAAGGAUCCAGUGUUGCCGUGAGCUGUGGUGUAGGUGGCAGACUUGGCUGGAUCUGAUGUUGCUGUGGCUGUGGCGUAGGCCAGCAGCUACAGCUCCGAUUUGACCCCUAGCCUGGAAUCCUCUAUAUGCUGCGGGUGCAGCCCUAAAAAGGCAAAACAAAACAAAACAAUGUUGCUUAGGAUCCUGAUAAUGAACAUAAAUAACUGUGUGUGUAUGUGGGUAAACCGCUUAACGGCUUGUGAUGAGGGCCCUGCCUUUUUCUGGUUGGUUAGCAAUGCUUCUGAUAGCCCAUGAUGUACAUUCAUGAGCCAGCAAAGUGAAAUAAUAGCUCUUACAGUUAAGGAAUGUUGCAGACAUUUAUUUUUUUAUGUAAUGCAGAAUUUGCAUUUGUUCUUAGUAGAUUCGUAUAAACAGCUAGCCAGAGAUUCUGUCGUCAAAGUGCUCACAAUAUAUUUGAAUUGUCACUGACAUCUCACUGGCUGAAAGCACAAGUAUAUUGUUUCAUACACACACACACACACACACACACACACACACACACACGUCUUGAAUAAAUUAAGCAAUAACCUCCCUGGGCCCCAAUAAAGUGUUCAUUCCCCAAGUCCUUUGUUACAUCUCAUCUCGCUGAGAUCUGAUGUGUGUAAGGACACCCACAGCUCUCCCCAGCAUAAGAGGGGAAGCAAGAGAGAGUCAAAGAUAAAAGAGGCAAGGAGGGAAAGACAAAAUGCUUAGUGGAAAGGGUAAAUGUGGCCAAUUCUUCCCUUUCCUGAUUCCAGCAGAGCCUGGUAGUUAACUCCUCUUUAAGAUCUGCCAAGGAAAAUAUAUAUUUCAUUUUGAUAUGUUUCUGUUGUCUGCAUGGUUUGCUUUGUCUAAGGAGAAAAAGAAUUGGAGAAGAAAUUAGAAGGAAAACAUUUUCUUGCUUUUAUUCUUUUAAAAAAAAAGGAGUAUAUACUGAACUUCUUUGCAGAACAGAUGCUGACUCACAGACAUUGAAAAACUUAUGGUCUCUGGAGGAGACAGUUAGGGGGGUGGGGGGAUGUGCCUGGGCUGUGGGAUGGAAAUCCUGUGAAUUUAGAUUGUUAUGAUCAUUAUACAACUACAGAUGUGAUAAAUUCAUUUGAGUAAUAAAAAAGAAAAAAAUUUUAAAAAGGGAGUAUAAGCAGGACAUGGAAAUACCAUAAAAGGGUCAAUUAUCCUGCAAUCACUAAUAUCCUACACUAAUAUAUCUAGGUGACAGAAGAGAUGGAGCCAUAAUGGGUGGCUCCGUACUCUUUUUCUCUCUCUCUGCCAUGUGAGGACACAGCAAGGAGAAAACAUCUGAGAGCCAGGAAGAGAACUUUCACCAGGAAAAAAAUCAGCCAAUACCUUGAUCUUGGACCUCUCAGUCUUUAGAAAUGUGAGAACUAAAUGUCUGUUGUUUAAGCCACCAGGUCUAUGGUAUUUUGUUAUGGCAACCUGAGCUAAGACAGUGAUUUACAUGAAUUCAUUUAGCAGAUAUUUUUCUGAGCCUCUCUAGGUACUGUCCCAGGGCUGUGGGUAGAGCAGUGGUAAAGUAGAUGAGGUUCUGCCUUCCUGGUGGGACUUGCAUUCCAGUGAAAUCUGCCACAGACAAUAAACAGGUAAACAAGCAAGCAAAUUUUAGAUAGUGAUGAGAGCCAAGAAGAAGACACAAUAGGGCCAUGCAGUGCAGAAUGACUGGGAAGGGGCUACUUUAGAUCAGAUAGUCAAAGGAAGCUUCCUGGGGACAGAAUAUUUGAGCUGAAUGGCAAGGAAGAGCCAACUAGGAGAUAAUCUGGUGGAAAAUUCCAGACCUGGAAACCAAGACGUUAGCACUGUGACUGUGUAAAAAUGGAUAGCUACCUCUGAAUUACAGCAGGCAAAGAAUAAAGUAGACUUGAGAUAUACUUGAGUAUUAAUAUCCAUAAAUGGAAGAAGAGAUGCACAGCAAGAACAUUUAUAUAAGAAGUUUCAGGAGUUCCCGUUGUGGCUCAGUGGUUAACGAAUCUGACUAGCAUCCAUAAGGACACAGGUUCAAUCCCUGGCCUCACUCAGUGGGUUAAAGAUCCAGUGUUGCCGUGAGCUGUGGUGUAGGUCACAGAGGCAGCUCAGAUCCUGCAUUGCUGUGGCUGUGGUGUAGGUGGGCAGUUACAGCUCCAAUCGGAUCGCUAGCCUGGGAACCUCCAUAUGCCGCAGGUGCAG
rnacentral:lncRNA from 1 species